AGUGACAGGUGGUGCAUGGUUGUCGUCAGCUCGUGUCGUGAGAUGUUGGGUUAAGUCCCGCAACGAGCGCAACCCUUAAGCUUAGUUGCCAUCAUUAAGUUGGGCACUCUAAGUUGACUGCCGGUGACAAACCGGAGGAAGGUGGGGAUGACGUCAAAUCAUCAUGCCCCUUAUGAUUUGGGCUACACACGUGCUACAAUGGACAAUACAAAGGGCAGCGAAACCGCGAGGUCAAGCAAAUCCCAUAAAGUUGUUCUCAGUUCGGAUUGUAGUCUGCAACUCGACUACAUGAAGCUGGAAUCGCUAGUAAUCGUAGAUCAGCAUGCUACGGUGAAUACGUUCCCGGGUCUUGUACACACCGCCCGUCACACCACGAGAGUUUGUAACACCCGAAGCCGGUGGAGUAACCAUUUGGAGCUAGCCGUCGAAGGUGGGACAAAUGAUUGGGGUGAAGUCGUAACAAGGUAGCCGUAUCGGAAGGUGCGGCUGGAUCACCUCCUUU
rnacentral:rRNA from 1 species